UUACCUCAGAUCAGGCAAGGCAACCCGCUGAAUUUAAGCAUAUUAAUAAGCGGAGGAAAAGAAACUAACAAGGAUUCCCCUAGUAAUGGCGAAUGAAGCGGGAACAGCUCAAAUUUAAAAUCUCCGUUGCUUGCAACGGCGAAUUGUAGUUUCGAGAAGCACUUUCUCGGCGGAUCCGAGGUCGUCCAAGUUGCUUGGAACAGCACGUCGUAUAGGGUGACAACCCCGUCUGCGGCGAUCUCGGCCGUUCACGAUGUGCUUUC
rnacentral:ncRNA from 1 species